rnacentral:lncRNA from 1 species
UAGCGUCUCCGUUAAUGUUUUGGACUGGGAUAACAGUCAGGGAUUCCUGGUGCUAAAGUUGAUGUUCCUGGAGUUAUGCAAGAGGCCCUCUGUGGACAUCAUCCAGAAGAACAGAACAAAAACAAAGCUGCCUCCCUCACACUGACUCACAUUUUACUGGCCCCCACAUUACUUUACUGACGCACGUGCGCGCAGGUUCAGUUCAAACAUUCAUCAUCCCAGAACUUUUCUAGCCUGUACCAUCUAUUUACACGCCGGGAAAUGACACUACCCACGUGCUUUCGCCCCUAAACAGGAGUUAAGCGAAAAUAAUGAGCACGUGCUCCCGUUUUUAAAGCUAGUUUUCCUUAUAAUAUCCACAAAGUAAACGUUAAAGUCCUUCUCUCUUCGUGGAGGUGGUGCUGGCCUCACGGUUGGUUUGAGCCAGCUGGAAGAGCAGGCGAAGGCCACACUGAGCGGGGCUGCAGAACACAGAGUUCCGGGCGGACACACGGACUCUUUAAAGAUGAUUCAGAGAUGACUGGAUGAGCUGAAGGACUUCUUCUGACAAAACAGCCUUCAGAUUUCAUUUCCAACCGUGGGAGUCUGUUUAUGUAGAUGUUUCUCUUUGUGUUACAUAACGCUCCUCAUAAAACAUUGUGAUAAUUACACAAAUAGUUUAUUUAUUUAAAAUCUUGUUUUAUUCAAGAAAAACUUUGUGGAUCAACUCAUUGAUAAAUCAAUUUAGCAGAAAAAUAAACUCCAUACAGAAAAAAAAAUAUGAACUGAUCAACGUUGUUGCUAUGAUUGGCUAAAAUAAAAAAAAUUGUGAGAAAUGUA